rnacentral:rRNA from 1 species
AUGUUAAUACAAAACAGUGGAGAUAGAAUAAGAAAAAAAAGAAAACAAAAGGAAAAGGUGCUAGCUAAUACUGUACUAGUGGGCUCUAUGUGCAACACUGCUAUGGCCCAGCCCAAUGGGGUUCAUCCCCUUCUUCUGUACAGGACAGAGGGCGUGGCGGCCAUCCACCGGCUCCAUAGCCAGCAGGGUGCACGCGCCGUCCAUCCACUACCUCCCCGCCGUCUACAAGACCAUCUCGACACCUAUACGAACCCUAGUCGUCCACUCCUUCCCCCUCGCGACGUUCUCUUCCUCCGCGCACACACCUGA